rnacentral:rRNA from 1 species
GAUGAACGCUGGCGGCGUGCCUAAUACAUGCAAGUCGAGCGAACGGAUGAGAAGCUUGCUUCUCUGAUGUUAGCGGCGGACGGGUGAGUAACACGUGGAUAACCUACCUAUAAGACUGGGAUAACUUCGGGAAACCGGAGCUAAUACCGGAUAAUAUUUUGAACCGCAUGGUUCAAAAGUGAAAGACGGUCUUGCUGUCACUUAUAGAUGGAUCCGCGCUGCAUUAGCUAGUUGGUAAGGUAACGGCUUACCAAGGCAACGAUGCAUAGCCGACCUGAGAGGGUGAUCGGCCACUCUGGAACUGAGACACGGUCCAGACUCCUACGGGAGGCAGCAGUAGGGAAUCUUCCGCGAUGGGCGAAAGCCUGACGGAGCAACGCCGCGUGAGUGAUGAAGGUCUUCGGAUCGUAAAACUCUGUUAUUAGGGAAGAACAUAUGUGUAAGUAACUGUGCACAUCUUGACGGUACCUAAUCAGAAAGCCACGGCUAACUACGUG